AAUUGACCAAAAAAAUCUAUUGCAUCAUUUGCGAUUUAUUCCCUCCCAAAUUUUUCACAAAAUUCGCCAAAAAUUAAAGAAAUAUAUAACAAAAAAUAAAUAAAUAUAUAAGAAAAAAUUUUCACUCUCAAAUUACUCUCAGUCGACAACCUGUACUCUUGUGCCGACUAUCGCUCCGACUACCAGUACUCCGACCAGUGCUCCGACCACUAGUUCUCCAACUACCACUCCGAUUACCGCUUCAACCACCAGUGCUCCCACCACAAAUCAGUCACUACCAUUAGCCCGAUUUACAAUUGCCCUAUUUACAAGCAUAAAGAAGCUUUCGAUUGAACCUUCUAGGCGUCUAUGGAAACAUGCCGCUGUAGAUUAGUUCAGCGACUAAUUAUGUGGUGCAGGUUGUUCUAGGGCUUCCAUAAUUUCUAAAUCUGGCAAAGAAUUGAAGCCGUCUAAUUGAGGAAGAGAGAGAUGCCAAAGGGUGUAUAUGCAGGGAUUCUUUUUAGUUGUAUAUAUUGGAGCCAAAGAGGGUCGUUUCUUGCUACUUUUCUUAACUUCUUUUCUCUUGAAAAGACAACAUAUCCCACUUAAAGUCACACUGGACAUUUGAUAAUUAGUUUAACUUUGUAUAUUUCCUUUUGUUCAAUUCUAAAGUUGAAUGAUUUAGCACUUUUGUCAUGUCCCAGAUGUAGCUGGUAUAUAUACAGAGCUCAACUAUUUUUUUUAAACAAGGCCGGACAGUUCCUAUUGUUGGGUUUGUUUGCUACAUGUUGAACAUAGACCAUGCACGAGGACAUCCUUGCGUUUGGUGAUUCUAUAUCUCGUGUGUUUCUACUUGGUCAUCUGAGGUGUGUUGCUUUGGUGAGGUGCUUUGUUAGUUAUUACUUACGUACUAGUGAACUUUCAAAAGUGAAAAAACUGAUGUGACAUACAACUGUUCCUAUCCCCAUGAAGUUAUUGUUAUACUUUAAUUUGUGAAUUGGAAGUUAUAUACUACAGUCACUGUUAUAUUUUUGAA